rnacentral:rRNA from 1 species
CAAUAAGCGGAGGAAAAGAAACCAACAGGGAUUGCCCUAGUAACGGCGAGUGAAGCGGCAACAGCUCAAAUUUGAAAUCUGGCGCAAGCCCGAGUUGUAAUUUGUAGAGGAUGCUUCUAGGUAGCGACCGGUCUAAGUUCCUUGGAACAGGACGUCAUAGAGGGUGAGAAUCCCGUAUGUGACCGGCCCGCGCCUUCCACGUAGCUCCUUCGACGAGUCGAGUUGUUUGGGAAUGCAGCUCUAAAUGGGAGGUAAAUUUCUUCUAAAGCUAAAUACCGGCCAGAGACCGAUAGCGCACAAGUAGAGUGAUCGAAAGAUGAAAAGCACUUUGGAAAGAGAGUUAAAAAGCACGUGAAAUUGUUGAAAGGGAAGCGCUCACAACCAGACUUCUGGGCGGUGUUCCGCCGGUCUUCUGACCGGUCUACUCGCCGUCCCGAGGCCAACAUCAUCUGGGACCGCCGGAUAAGACCUCAGGAAUGUGGCUCCCCUCGGGGAGUGUUAUAGCCUGUGGUGAUGCGGCGCGUCUCGGGUGAGGUCCGCGCUUCGGCAAGGAUGUUGGCGUAAUGGUUGUCAGCGGCCCGUCUUGAAACACGGACCAAGGAGUCUAACAUCUAUGCGAGUGUUCGGGUGUCAAACCCCUACGCGUAAUGAAAGUGAACGGAGGUGGGAAGGGUAACCUGCACCAUCGACCGAUCCUGAUGUCCUCGGAUGGAUUUGAGUAAGAGCAUAGCUGUUGGGACCCGAAAGAUGGUGAACUAUGCCUGAAUAGGGUGAAGCCAGAGGAAACUCUGGUGGAGGCUCGCAGCGGUUCUGACGUGCAAAUCGAUCGUCAAAUUUGGGUAUAGGGGCGAAA